AACGAACGCUGGCGGCAUGCCUAACACAUGCAAGUCGAACGAUGCCUUCGGGCUUAGUGGCGCACGGGUGCGUAACGCGUGGGAAUCUGCCUUUCUGUUCGGAAUAACUCAGGGAAACUUGAGCUAAUACCGGAUAACGUCGCAAGACCAAAGAUUUAUCACCGAAAGAUGAGCCCGCGUAGGAUUAGCUAGUUGGUGAGGUAAAGGCUCACCAAGGCGACGAUCCUUAGCUGGUCUGAGAGGAUGAUCAGCCACACUGGGACUGAGACACGGCCCAGACUCCUACGGGAGGCAGCAGUGGGGAAUGUUGGACAAUGGGCGAAAGCCUGAUCCAGCAAUGCCGCGUGAGUGAUGAAGGCCUUAGGGUUGUAAAGCUCUUUUACCCGGGAAGAUAAUGACGGUACCGGGAGAAUAAGCCCCGGCUAACUCCGUG
rnacentral:rRNA from 1 species